UACGGGGGGGGCAAGCGUUGUUCGGAAUUACUGGGCGUAAAGGGCUCGUAGGCGGCCAACUAAGUCGGACGUGAAAUCCCCAGGCUCAACCUGGGAACUGCGUCCGAUACUGGAUGGCUUGAAUUCGGGAGAGGGAUGCAGAAUUCCAGGUGUAGCGGUGAAAUGCGUAGAUAUCUGGAGGAAUACCAAUGGCGAAGGCAGCUCGCUGGAACGGUACUGACGCUGAGGCGCGAAAGCGUGGGGAGCGAACAGG
rnacentral:rRNA from 1 species